rnacentral:rRNA from 1 species
GGCCAGACUCCUACGGGAGGCAGCAGUGAGGAAUAUUGGUCAAUGGGCUUACGCCUGAACCAGCCAAGUCGCGUGAGGGAAGACUGCCCUAUGGGUUGUAAACCUCUUUUGUCAGGGAGCAAUUGGCGCUACGUGUAGCGUUAUCGAGAGUACCUGAAGAAAAAGCAUCGGCUAACUCCGUGCCAGCAGCCGCGGUAAUACGGAGGAUGCGAGCGUUAUCCGGAUUUAUUGGGUUUAAAGGGUGCGUAGGCGGACGCGUAAGUCAGCGGUAAAAUUGGGGGGCUCAACCUCGUCGAGCCGUUGAAACUGGGUGCCUUGAGUGGGCGAGAAGUGCGCGGAAUGCGUGGUGUAGCGGUGAAAUGCAUAGAUAUCACGCAGAACCCCGAUUGCGAAGGCAGCAUACCGGCGCCCUACUGACGCUGAGGCACGAAAGUGCGGGUAUCGAACAGGAUUAGAUACCCUAGUAA